AUCUGUUGUUCAUUUAUCCAGUUUCCCUUUAUGACUAAUCGGAAAAGCACCUCAACAAAAAAUAUAUUUCUGAAAAACCCGCGAAAAAACCGCCCAUCCAAAAGUGAUUUUUUUUUUUAGAAGAUUUAAUUAUUUUUUAUUUCAUUUUACUAUCUGCAAAAAGACAGUUGAAACGGUGUGACAGGUGCUCUUUUUCCAGAUUGGAGUGCUCGUCAGCAAUCGAUUCGUACGUCGAGUGGGAAAAAGACGGGAAAAGCCUCGAAUUGAACGAGCCAGUGCUUUCGAUCGAGAGCGCGACAACAGCGGACGCGGGGGUGUACGAGUGUUCGUCACCAGCAGGCAAAGCCAUCACUGCAAUUUCCGUUUUCAACGAGGCAAACGAGCCGUUCCGACAGGCGAGAACUAAAUAAUAGGCUUUUGAGAAUUCUGUUGAGAGAAAUUUUGGUUCAGGUGAGGCAAGGAGAAAGGCCAUUAUUGCCGCGCGAGAAUCAGACUUUGGGCUGGGCCACUGUUUUCACCGAGUGGACGGAAUGGUCCAGAUGCAGCGAGGAGAACAGCUGUCACGCAGUUGGUUUUAAGAGAAAACUCGGAUUUUGUUUCGUUGAUUUAAGUAAAAACAAGUCAGCCUGGGCGGAAAAGCUUCCAUGCCGUUCUCCCUUGCUGCCCGAUGAAUUAAAGCGGCAAAAAAUAAUUAAAAGCCGGCCUUCCGAAGUAAUUUACGAUUAUUGCAAGGUGGAUUGCGAGGGACAUGGCAAGAUUUUCAAGGUUUUCGACAGGUUUGGCGCUCUCAUGGACCAAGUGAACAACAGUGCGGGAUUGUUCUCCACCUUGCAGGGCCUGCCAAAACUGCAUCCACCCGUUCGCAGAGAAUAUCUGUUCCCGAAAAAGGGCCAAUCGCUGACCUUCCAGUG